CUUGUGGGAGGAGAAGGGCGGAGCUUGAGGUCAACCAACAAUGACCAGUGAUUUGAUCAAUCGCGCCUGUGUGACGAAGCCUCCAUAAAAACCCAGAAGGAUGGGUUUUGGAGAGCUUCUGGACUGGUGAACACAUGGAGGUGUGGAGAGAGGGUCGUGCUCUUGGAGAGGGCAUGGAAGCUCCAUGCCCCUUCCCACGUACCUUGGCCUAUGCAUCUCUUCCAUCUGGCUGUCUAGAAAACCCUUCCUGAGGAUGCUGAGAAAUCCUCCGUCUUCGUGGGAGGGCUCACUGGAGCAUAUUCCGGAAAUGGACGAGGGAGGGAGGUCAGCUCAUUUCGGCCGAUGGUAACUCCAGCCUGACUUAAAUCAGUCAGUUCUGCUAAGAAACAGGCUCCGUGAGUGCCCGGAGGUCAAGGUGGUAUAAAAGGCACUAUUCAACAAUAUUUUACUUAUGUGCACAUAGCUCCAGUCUAGCACUUUUUCUAUGCAGUUGGGUGACUAUCGUCUGCACAGACAACAAAACAAAGACAGACCUACAUGGACUCAAGCAGUGUGUGUGACCCUUGUGUGGGCAGCGUCAGUGGAGUGGCCACAGAACUGCCUCUGCCAUCAGAGAAGCAGGGACAUUGGGACUAAAAAGAUCCAGGAGUGCCUCAAACCAAAAGAAAUUCUACGACUCCUACAAAAUGGACAUGCAUUUAUUUUUUUCUACACAUCAUUUGAACUCUUGAAAAGAGGUCACAUGUCAUAUGUUAGAUAAUGCUUGCCGGCUUGGAGAGUGGAAAGGACCCAUUCUUGUAAGGCGAAUUUAAGAGAACCAAUGAGGAACUGUCAGGCACCGAAGUUUGUAACAACAUAGGUACUCUGGGAAGAUUGGGAAAAUACAGAUAUCUUGCAAUUCAGGGGAUUGUAA
rnacentral:lncRNA from 1 species